rnacentral:rRNA from 1 species
UACGGGGGGUGCAAGCGUUGUUCGGAAUUACUGGGCGUAAAGCGUGCGCAGACGGUUAUGUAAGUCGGAUGUGAAAUCCCCGGGCUCAACCUGGGAAUUGCAUUCGAAACUGCAUGGCUAGGGUACGGAAGAGGGAAGCGGAAUUUCUGGUGUAGCGGUGAAAUGCGUAGAUAUCAGAAGGAACAUCAGUGGCGAAAGCGGCUUCCUGGUCCAGUACCGACGUUCAGGCACGAAAGCGUGGGGAGCAAACAGG